GAUGAACGCUAGCUACAGGUUUAACACAUGCAAGUCGAGGGGAAACGAUAUUGGAAGCUUGCUUCCGAUAGGCGUCGACCGGCGCACGGGUGAGUAACGCGUAUCCAACCUGCCCAUCACUUGGGGAUAACCUUGCGAAAGUAAGACUAAUACCCAAUGACGUCUCUAGAAGACAUCUGAAGGAGAUUAAAGAUUUAUCGGUGAUGGAUGGGGAUGCGUCUGAUUAGCUUGUUGGCGGGGUAACGGCCCACCAAGGCGACGAUCAGUAGGGGUUCUGAGAGGAAGGUCCCCCACAUUGGAACUGAGACACGGUCCAAAACUCCUACGGGAGGCAGCAGUGAGGAAUAUUGGUCAAUGGGGCGAGAGCCUGAACCAGCCAAGUAGCGUGCAGGAUGACGGCCCUAUGGGUUGUAAACUGCUUUUAUAAGGGAAUAAAGUGGGAGUCGUGACUCUUUUUGCAUGUACCUUAUGAAUAAGGACCGGCUAAUUCCGUGCCAGCAGCCGCGG
rnacentral:rRNA from 1 species